GGAAGGGUGGCCGAGUGGUUUAAGGCUCUAGUCUUGAAAACUAGCGUGGGGGUAACCCCACCGUGGGUUCGAAUCCCACCCCUUCCGCCA
rnacentral:tRNA from 1 species